CCGCAUCACUAACUAUUAUAGAGCCCGGCUCUAUGUACUGAAGCAUGUGGCUCCACAGCACACGCCUGCGCUUAUUGUCGUCGUGCAAGGAGAAAAACGCCUUUAGGAUCUUCGCUACGGCCGCUGGCUGAGUCAGCUGCAGUCAGGAUUUGCGGCAAGAGCGUAAUUUGCCUUUCGGACAUUUGUGACGAUAUACUUACUGUCCAGAACAUCCCCUCCUUGGUCUCUCGGCAUACAGCACCGAAUAUCACAAUCUGGUGGGCCCUGGUGAUCCGGCCCUCUGAUUUAUCCUGCGUCGUGUGUACCUCUUGUCCUCCUAGAAAUACAGAAACGAGGAAGUGACCGUUAGCGGCGCCUGUCAUGGCAAGAACGAGGAAAAUCGUGUUAGCCAUCGGUGUGGAUCCGCUUUGACUGUAAUUGCACUUGCCUCAACGUGCAGGCCCGGCUCGCCGAUUUUGACGGGGGAGUUGGAAACGAUCUCUCUGCAACUUCGCGGCAAAAGCUGUAGUAGUCUACUGCUGUCUGCCUGCUCACCCGAACAAACUGGUAGGCAAUGGUAACAGGGAUCUUGCUGACCCAGCAGUAGCCUAAUUGUAACACCUGUAAAAAAAUAAACAACGCGAUUAGUAUAGAACCCUUCGGUUCCAGACAUCACACAGCAGCAUUGCCGGAACCGACGGGAGACAAAUAAGCAGGGUAAAACGGAAAAACGAGCGUGGAGGUAAUGUACCUGCAGGAACGACGCUCGGACACCGAAAACAGAUGUUCCGCUGAGGGCAAAGAGGCGGUCACAGCAGCGCGGCACAAUGCGGCAUACUACUUUCCGAGGGGGCUCGUCGGGAGCUGACGGUUUCGGCCUCUUUCAGCACACGUAUGAGAAAGCUAGGCGGUUGCGCUCGUCUGCAUUCUCGCUCAGAGGCGCAGUGGGGAAAAGAAACACUACAAUAGGGUGGGACCUUGAGCGGCCAAACCAGAAACGAAAACGACAUAAAGAAAUGGAAAACAAGACCUAGCCGCCACCUCGCCACGCACGGCUUUAUUACCUGAACACUUGGGGCAGGGGGAAGCGGGGUAACUCCCUGUUGGGGGACUAGACCCAGACGACAGCACACCCUCACACUCACCGCCUCAUCUGGGAAAACCUCGUGGAAUGUGAAUGGUGUCAAGACAUCAAACUGGAACAAAUGUCAUCGCCCGGACCGGGAGCCGGGUGCACGGACGCAUCCGAAGUGAUUGGGACGGACGAAACGGCGGGGGAAAAGCUGGCGGAUGGCGGCAAAUCCAUAGAUUUCGGAACACUGGCCGGAAAAAAAUCUACACGAUGCAUUGGUCGUGACCGCUGAGCGGCCAAAUAUACCGGGUCAUUUUGAGCACCCCUGUCAGUCGUUUUUCUGGUAACUGGGACGCCGCGGGGCGUCGGG
rnacentral:lncRNA from 1 species